rnacentral:rRNA from 1 species
GACGAACGCUGGCGGCGUGCUUAACACAUGCAAGUCGAGCGGUAAGGCCUUUCGGGGUACACGAGCGGCGAACGGGUGAGUAACACGUGGGUGAUCUGCCCUGCACUUCGGGAUAAGCCUGGGAAACUGGGUCUAAUACCGGAUAUGACCUCCUAUCGCAUGGUGGGUGGUGGAAAGAUUUAUCGGUGCAGGAUGGGCCCGCGGCCUAUCAGCUUGUUGGUGGGGUAAUGGCCUACCAAGGCGACGACGGGUAGCCGACCUGAGAGGGUGACCGGCCACACUGGGACUGAGACACGGCCCAGACUCCUACGGGAGGCAGCAGUGGGGAAUAUUGCACAAUGGGCGAAAGCCUGAUGCAGCGACGCCGCGUGAGGGAUGGCGGCCUUCGGGUUGUAAACCUCUUUCAGCAGGGACGAAGCGCAAGUGACGGUACCUGCAGAAGAAGCACCGGCUAACUACGUG